rnacentral:rRNA from 1 species
AAUUAUAUAUUAUAAUAAUAAAUAUAUCCUGCAAAUUAAAAAACAUUUAUUUAUUAGUAAAGGUGAUUGAAAUUGAUUUAUCUAUUUUAAAAGUACUGUAAAGGAAAUAUAAAAUUUUUAUUAAGUAGUAUAUAUUAUGUACCUUUUGCAUCAUGGCUUCACAAGAAAAUAUGAAGGUAUAAUUCAUAACUAGAAACUUAAUGAGCUACUUUAAUUUAGAAUGAUAGUUCAAAUAUUUUAGAUGUGGCAAAAUCUUAUUUAAAAAUUAAAGUUGUAGUGAAAUUCUAUUCGCAUUAAGUGAUAGCUAGUUCUUCUAGAAAUACAUAUAAGUGUAGUUAUAUAUUUAUUAAUCUUUUUAUAUUUAAAAAGUUUUGAUAUGUGAUUUGUAUAUUUAAGGAUAAGCUUAAAUAUUUCAUGAUAUAAAAUAAAAAAUUAUUUCUAAGCUUGAAGUCAGCUAAGAUUAAUAAAAUCGUUAUAGAUUAUAAAUUUUGUUGCUAAAAUAAUAAAUAUAUUUAUUAUUAAUAGAAGCAAUCAAUUAAAUUUUUAGAUUGUUAUGUUUAUGUUAAGAUGAGUAUUCAUUUAAAUUUAAAAAUUCUAUAUUAUUUAAAUUUUAGAAUAUAAACUUUAUAUUAAUAAAUGUUAAAUUAAUAAAAGGAAUUCGGCAAAUAAUAACUUCGCCUGUUUAGCAAAAACAUGGCUCUUUGCCUAUCGAUUAUAAAGAGUCUGGCCUGCCCGGUGAUUUUUUUAACGGCCGCGGUACUUUGACCGUGCAAAGGUAGCAUAAUCAAUUGCCUUAUAAUUGAAGGCUAGUAUGAAAGGUUUAACGAAAGUUAAGCUGUCUUUUUUUAAAUAAAAGGAAAUUAACUUAUAAGUGCAAAGGCUUAUAUAUAACUAAAAGACAAGAAGACCCUAUUGAGCUUAUAAAAAUAUUUAAGAUCAAAGUAUAUAAAAAUUCUAAUCUUUCAGAAUUUUUAGUUGGGGCGACUUAGGAAUAAAUAUAACUUCCUAGUAUUAAAAUUACUUUUAUGUUUUAUCCAAAAAUUUUUGAUUAUCAGAAUUAGUUACCAUAGGGAUAACAGCAUAAUCUUUCUUAGGAGUUCUAAUCGAAAGAAAGGAUUGUGACCUCGAUGUUGGACUAGAAUAUCCUAAAGGUGCAGAAGCUUUUAAGGGUUGGUCUGUUCGACCAUUAAUAAUUCUACGUGAUCUGAGUUCA